rnacentral:rRNA from 1 species
AUUGAACGCUGGCGGCAUGCCUUACACAUGCAAGUCGAACGGCAGCACGGGAGCAAUCCUGGUGGCGAGUGGCGAACGGGUGAGUAAUAUAUCGGAACGUGCCCAGUCGUGGGGGAUAACGCAGCGAAAGCUGUGCUAAUACCGCAUACGAUCUACGGAUGAAAGCGGGGGAUCGCAAGACCUCGCGCGAUUGGAGCGGCCGAUAUCAGAUUAGCUAGUUGGUGGGGUAAAGGCCCACCUAGGCGACGAUCUGUAGCUGGUCUGAGAGGACGACCAGCCACACUGGAACUGAGACACGGUCCAGACUCCUACGGGAGGCAGCAGUGGGGAAUUUUGGACAAUGGGCGCAAGCCUGAUCCAGCAAUGCCGCGUGCAGGAUGAAGGCCUUCGGGUUGUAAACUGCUUUUGUACGGAACGAAACGGCCCUUUCUAAUACAGGGGGCUAAUGACGGUACCGUAAGAAUAAGCACCGGCUAACUACGUGCCAGCCGCCGCAGUAACAC